rnacentral:rRNA from 1 species
GUCCUCUUGUUUAUAUAUGAGGUCUGACCUGCCCGGUGAAAGUUAUUUUAACGGCCGCAGUAUUUUGACUGUGCAAAGGUAGCAUAAUCAUUAGUCUUUUAAUAGGGGGCUGGUAUGAAGGGUUUGACGAGGUGUUAACUGUCUCAUUUAAUUUGUAUUUAGAAUUUAACUUUUCAGUUAAAAGGCUGAAAUUGUAUUGGAAGACGAGAAGACCCUAUAGAGCUUUAUAAUUAGUAUUUUAAUUGUUUUUUGUAAUAUAAAUUAUGAUUAUAAUUUUAAUUAUUUUGUUGGGGUGACAAAAAUAUAUAUUUAACUUUUUUAUUUAAUUGACAUUGAUUUAUGAAUGUUAGAUCCAGUUUUAUUGAUUGUUAGAUUAAGUUACC